AAGGCUUAUUAGCUUUUUUUAUACUGUCAUUAUCCAUGUUUUUUACUUUUUUACUUUUUAACAGUAGUAUGCAUUCUUCCGUUCACCUGAUAGUUGUACUAUCCACUCUUGGGUCCAGAUUUGGUGUGCGGGUGGGUUAAUGUUUCCUAUAUUAGGGUAUGUGCCCAUUGCAGCUAUGGUUGAGGGCUGGAGUUGGUGGCUGAGUGGGCUUUUUGAUAUGUGGGCAAUGAUAUGUAGUAGGUGAUGACUUGGGUGACCUUGAGAGGCUCUAUUCAUUUGGUACCGUCUUGGUAAGGAAGAUCUGAAUGUGCAGUGUAGUUUAGUUGUGUGGAGUGGUAACUGGUGGAGAUUAAUGUCUCUAACAGAGGAGAGGAAGGGUCAGAAUUAGUGGGGUAUAUGGCUGUGCCCCCGAGGCCCACACCAGGGCAUGGGCAUUAGGUGUGAAUGGGAAACUCAAAGAGCCAGGGGUCCCAUAUGUUUUCACA